GAUGAACGCUAGCGGCGUGCCUAAUACAUGCAAGUCGAGCGAACGGACGAGAAGCUUGCUUUUCUGAUGUUAGCGGCGGACGGGUGAGUAACACGUGGAUAACCUACCUAUAAGACUGGGAUAACUUCGGGAAACCGGAGCUAAUACCGGAUAAUAUUUUGAACCGCAUGGUUCAAAAGUGAAAGACGGUCUUGCUGUCACUUAUAGAUGGAUCCGCGCUGCAUUAGCUAGUUGGUAAGGUAACGGCUUACCAAGGCAACGAUGCAUAGCCGACCUGAGAGGGUGAUCGGCCACACUGGAACUGAGACACGGUCCAGACUCCUACGGGAGGCAGCAGUAGGGAAUCUUCCGCAAUGGGCGAAAGCCUGACGGAGCAACGCCGCGUGAGUGAUGAAGGUCUUCGGAUCGUAAAACUCUGUUAUUAGGGAAGAACAUAUGUGUAAGUAACUGUGCACAUCUUGACGGUACCUAAUCAGAAAGCCACGGCUAACUACGUG
rnacentral:rRNA from 1 species